rnacentral:rRNA from 1 species
CCUACGGGGGGCAGCAGUGGGGAAUAUUGCACAAUGGGGGAAACCCUGAUGCAGCGACGCCGCGUGAGUGAAGAAGUAUUUCGGUACGUAAAGCUCUAUCAGCAGGGAAGAAAAAAAGUCCUUUGGACUUUGGACGGUACCUGACCAAGAAGCCCCGGCUAACUACGUGCCAGCAGCCGCGGUAAUACGUAGGGGGCAAGCGUUAUCCGGAUUUACUGGGUGUAAAGGGAGCGUAGACGGCAGCGCAAGUCUGGAGUGAAAUGCCGGGGCCCAACCCCGGAACUGCUUUGGAAACUGUGCAGCUC